CCCGCCGGCGACCGGCGCACGGGUGAGUAACACGUAUGCAACCUGGCCGCCACAGGGGGAUAACCCGCGGAAACGCGGCCUAAUACCCCGUGACGCCACCGGAGGGCAUCCUCCGGUGGCCAAAGGAGCGAUCCGGUGGCGGAUGGGCAUGCGGCGCAUUAGCUAGACGGCGGGGUGACGGCCCACCGUGGCGACGAUGCGUAGGGGUUCUGAGAGGAAGGCCCCCCAUACUGGGACUGAGACACGGCCCAGACUCCUACGGGAGGCAGCAG
rnacentral:rRNA from 1 species